AAAAUGCGGCAUAACAUAGCAUGUCAUUCGACCCGAAUACGCUUUCAUAAUUUUAUCAUUUCUUCCGGGUAGAACAUUUCUAAACUUGUUGAGGUGAUUCAGUGUUUCUAUAAACGUAACAAAAGUGAUGGUUUACAUUGCCAGAUGGAUCGCUGGUGGUAGUAGAAACUAAGCAUCCAAGUAUGCCGAGAUAGCAAGGACAAAGAAGCGAUAUGACGGGGAAAACGUGAAAGUUAGAUACAAAGUUAAUCAUAUAGAGUUUUCUGGAGCCAAAAAGGCAAUCUGCUAUUCAACAUAUGGAUACUACGAGGAUUAACCCUUUCUCUACCGUAUCGGUCAAUUUGACCGAUGGCGCGUAAAAACAGGACUACGCAAAAGGAGUGCCUCUAAAUCUUUGACAU